UUUUCCUACGGGACGCAGCAGUGGGGAAUAUUGCACAAUGGGGGAAACCCUGAUGCAGCAACGCCGCGUGAGUGAAGAAGUAUUUCGGUAUGUAAAGCUCUAUCAGCAGGGAAGAAAAUGACGGUACCUGAGUAAGAAGCCCCGGCUAACUACGUGCCAGCAGCCGCGGUAAUACGUAGGGGGCAAGCGUUAUCCGGAUUUACUGGGUGUAAAGGGCGCGUAGGUGGGUGCUUAAGUCAGGUGUGAAAACUCUGGGCUCAACCUGGAGACUGCACUUGAAACUGGGUAUCUUGAGGGCAGGAGAG
rnacentral:rRNA from 1 species